rnacentral:rRNA from 1 species
AUUGAACGCUGGCGGAAUGCUUUACACAUGCAAGUCGAACGGUAGAGGGGGCAACCCCUCGAGAGUGGCGAACGGGUGAGUAAUAUAUCGGAACGUGCCCAGUCGUGGGGGAUAACGUAGCGAAAGUUACGCUAAUACCGCAUACGAUCUAAGGAUGAAAGCGGGGGAUCGCAAGACCUCGCGCGAUUGGAGCGGCCGAUAUCAGAUUAGGUAGUUGGUGGGGUAAAGGCUCACCAAGCCAACGAUCUGUAGCUAGUCUGAGAGGACGACCAGCCACACUGGAACUGAGACACGGUCCAGACUCCUACGGGGGGCAGCAGUGGGGAAUUUUGGACAAUGGACGCAAGUCUGAUCCAGCCAUUCCGCGUGCAGGAUGAAGGCCCUCGGGUUGUAAACUGCUUUUGUACGGAACGAAAAGGUCUCUCUUAAUACGGGGGACUCAUGACGGUACCGUAAGAAUAAGCACCGGCUAACUACGUGCCAGCAGCCGCCGUAA